GCGACAAAUUGGUAAAGAGAGGGGGAAAAGCUUUACCACCGGUACCCUAUGGAGAAAAGACAAAUUGGCAUCUCCACAACCAAAACGCUCUCCAGAUCAGUCAUCAGUCCCACUCCUCGUCGCUAACCAUGUCGUCCUCGUCCUUGGGCGGCCGGACCACGAUGACCACCUCGGCCGCCGCAGCAGCUAUGCCCUGCUCAGCCAGCUUCUUCCCCCUCUCCACCACAAGCCGGCCUUCCCUCUCGAGGACGUAUACCCCCUCCUCCACUACCUCCUUCUUGCUCCGGUUGGCGAUGACCAGCACCGGCUCCUCGUCGCUCAUCCGCCACGGCAGCCUCCGCCCGUCGGCCAGCUCUACGACGACGGCGUCGUCCGCUGCCUCGGCCACGGGGCCCCAUCCGGGCACCACGGCCCAGCGCGCCCACGCCCUGUCCACCUCCACGACGCCAAGGCCCACGUCCGUCUUAGCCCGCCUGGGCGCCGACUCCAUGGCCGCGACGCCGUCCGUCUCCCUCACCACCGGCAGCAGGAUGACGGUGGUCGCCUCGGCGACCUCGCCGUAGCGGAGCCGCACCACCGUGACGCCGGGCCGCAGCGAGGCGGCAGCGUCGUCCUCCUCGCCCUCCUCGUCCACCUCCUCCUCCCCGGCCGCCUUCCUCCUGGCGCGCUCCAACUCGAGCUCCACGCGCGCCCUGCCGGACUCGGUCUCCACCACCUGCAGCGCGCGCUCCAGCUCCGCGACGCGGUCCUGCACGUCGAUGGCCUCCCGCGACUGCCGGAACCGCGCGAAGGCGAGGCAGUCGGCGGGGGAGUCCUUCGAGAAGGCCUCCCAGCCUUCCUCCCCGCGCCAGCGCGGGAAGCCCUUCAUGGCGCGCGCAAGCUCCCGCACGCCCUUGGGCUCGAGCCUGUAGCCGAUGGCGUGCCUGGCGGCGUCGGCGCGCUGCCGCGCGUUCAGGAAGCGGAGCUCGUACAGGACCUCGGGCCCACCCAAGGAGUCGAAGUAGGGAAGCAGGUCGGGCGGGAACGCGGCGGCCCGGUCGUCGAGGAGCGAGUCGCGGACCUGGGACGCGACGACCAGGCAGUUCUGCUCCACGCCGGAGAUGCCCGUGGCCUCCUGGAUGGAAGACGGGUUGAAGCCGUCCCGGGAGAGCGAGGAGAUGAGGGGCGCGUACUCGUGCCACAGGCCCAUCCGGUCGCGGAGGAUCUGGAGGCGCUCGCUGAGGUCGAGGUUGCGGAGGCUGGGCGGGAGAGGGGACGGCGGCGGGUGGAACGGCUGGUAGAGCUGGCCCGGCGGCGCCAUAGGGGGCGGGGUGAAGGGGAGCCUGCGGUCGCCGGGCCCGCCCCUGCCGCCGGUGCUGCCGCCUCCCGGAAGCAGGAUGGCGCUCGCGGCGAUGUGGCUGGCGCGACGGCGGUGCCACACGGGAGCAGUGCGCUGGUGGCGCGGCGCGGUGGUGGACGCGGCGGGGUGGGGGUGGGGGUGGGAGAGGGAGAGCAUGGUGGCGAUAAGGGGGUGGGGGAGGGGGAGGAGAGGAAUGAGGAUCAAAGAAGCACGGAAGCCACGGCUUAUCCUGCUCCUAGCCGUGUCCGCGCGGUGUCGGCUGACGGUUGGGCCGGCGAUGGUAGGGAUGGCAGCGGAAAGCCACGGCUUAUCCUGCUCCUAGCCGUGUCCGCGCGGCGUCGGCUGACGGUUGGCCCGGCGAUGCCGUUCGCCCUUUUCCCGCGCGCGAGCUUCCUGCACACGCACAUGGCUCAUGGCUGCCGCCUGCCAGCGAUGAUAUUGAAAAAUCUUUUUUUUUUCAUAGGUUCCAAUAUAAGAUCGCCAAACCUGUUAAAAACCACGGCACUAAGAUUUGUGUUGGGAGAAGAAGUUGGCGCGGAAUCACUCCAAACGGUGAGUUGUCGGGAUUUAGAUGAUGGAUUUGAGGCGGUGGAUUAUACUAGCUCAGACUUGUGUCUUAGUCCAGUAGUGUACUGGUUUUUUUUCAUAGGUUCCAAUAUAAGAUCGUCAAACCUGUUGAAAACCACGGCACUGAGAUUUGUGUUGGGAGAAGAAGUUGGCGUGGAAUCACUCCAAACGGUGAGUUGUCGGGAUUUAGAUGAUGGAUUUGAGGCGGUGGAUUAUACUGGCUCAGACUUGUGUCUUAGUCCGGUGUAGUGGUGAUCGUAGUAGAGGGUGUAUUACAACUAGUGUGCCCGUGUGUCAAGAAAGAGGGUGAAAGGGAAAUAGGGUCAAACCUUUUCCUAAUUGAUUUUGGUGGUUGAAUUGCCCAACACAAAUAAUUGGACUAACUAGUUUGUUCAAGAUUAUAUAUUCUACAGGUGCCAAAGGUUCAACACAAACCAAUCAAAAGAACAAGUUAAGUCUCAAAAGGAAGGAGCAAAAAGGGAACCGAAGGCUGCCCUGGUCUGGCGCACCGGACAGUCCGGUGUGCCACCGGACAGUGUCCGAUGCACCAGGGUGCUUCAGCUCAAACUCUUUCACCUUCGGGUUUUCCAGGCGCAGCUCCGCUAUAAUUCACCGGACUGUCUGGUGUGCCACCAGACUGUCCGGUGCACCAGCGGAGCAACGGCUAUCUGCGCGCAACGGUCGAAUCUGCAAAGUGAACAGUACUGCGACAGAAGUCAGAGCAGCGGUCAGAGGGGCACCGGACUGUCCGGUGCCACAUGAGGUGCCACAUGAGGACAGAGCCUCCAACGGUCGACUAGCUUCAGGACCUAACGGCAGGGUGACGUGGAGGCGCACCGGACACUGUCCGGUGGCGCACCGGACUGUCCGAUGCGCCCUUCGCCAACAGACUUCACCAACGGCUAGAUUUUGGUUGGUGGCUAUAAAUACCACCCCAACCGGCCACUACAACGGGUGGGAGCCCAAGCAACAUUCCAAGUCAUCUAGUUGACAUACUCAAGCCCUCCCAACCACAUAUAUUCAUUGAUCCAUCCUAUACACAAGAUUUAGACCACUACAACCAACACAAGUGCCACAAAAGAGAGAGCAAGUAAAAGAGAGCUACUCAUUUGAGUUUAGCACUAGUGCCUUGUGAGAUUCAUUGAGAGAUAGUGUGUGCUACAUCUUUGUGUUCAUUUGUGCGUGGAGUAUUGACUCCCAUCGAACUUCCUCCAAAGUUUUGGAGGCUUGUAAAAGUUAGCAAGAGACAUCAAAGAGUGUGGUGAUCCUUGCGGGAUCGAGAGUGAUCCUUGAGAAGAAGAAGAGCUCGCCGAUCCUUGGGUGAUCGGUGGAGAGAGGGAAAGGGUUGAAAAAGACUCGUCCUUAAGUGGACUCCUCAACGGGG
rnacentral:misc_RNA from 1 species